GACGAACGCUGGCGGCGCGCUUAACACAUGCAAGUCGAGCGAGAACCGGCCUUCGGGCCGGGGAAAGCGGCGAACGGGUGAGUAACACGUGGGUAAUCUGCCCUCGGCACCGGGAUAGCCCGGGGAAACCCGGAUUAAUACCGGAUGGCCCUUUGAGUCCUCGGAUUCAAAGGAAAAGGUAGCUUCGGCCUCCGGCCGAGGAUGGGCCCGCGGCGGAUUAGCUUGUUGGUGGGGUAACGGCCUACCAAGGCGACGAUCCGUAGCUGGUCUGAGAGGACGAUCAGCCACACUGGGACUGAGACACGGCCCCGACUCCUACGGGAGGCAGCAGUGGGGAAUCUUGCGCAAUGGGCGAAAGCCUGACGCAGCGACGCCGCGUGAGGGAAGAAGGCCUUCGGGUUGUAAACCUCUUUCAGGAGGGACGAAGCCACUCGGGUUAAUAGCCCAGAGGGUGACGGUACCUCCAGAAGAAGCCCCGGCUAACUACGUGCCAGCAGCCGCUGUAACAC
rnacentral:rRNA from 1 species